GAGUUUGAUCAUGGCUCAGAUUGAACGCUGGCGGCAUGCCUUACACAUGCAAGUCGAACGGCAGCGCGGGAGCAAUCCUGGCGGCGAGUGGCGAACGGGUGAGUAAUACAUCGGAACGUGCCCAAUCGUGGGGGAUAACGCAGCGAAAGCUGUGCUAAUACCGCAUACGAUCUACGGAUGAAAGCAGGGGAUCGCAAGACCUUGCGCGAAUGGAGCGGCCGAUGGCAGAUUAGGUAGUUGGUGAGGUAAAGGCUCACCAAGCCUUCGAUCUGUAGCUGGUCUGAGAGGACGACCAGCCACACUGGGACUGAGACACGGCCCAGACUCCUACGGGAGGCAGCAGUGGGGAAUUUUGGACAAUGGGCGAAAGCCUGAUCCAGCCAUGCCGCGUGCAGGAUGAAGGCCUUCGGGUUGUAAACUGCUUUUGUACGGAACGAAACGGUCUUCUCUAAUAAAGAGGGCUAAUGACGGUACCGUAAGAAUAAGCACCGGCUAACUACGUGCCAGCAGCCGCGGUAAUACGUAGGGUGCAAGCGUUAAUCGGAAUUACUGGGCGUAAAGCGUGCGCAGGCGGUUAUGUAAGACAGUUGUGAAAUCCCCGGGCUCAACCUGGGAACUGCAUCUGUGACUGCAUAGCUAGAGUACGGUAGAGGGGGAUGGAAUUCCGCGUGUAGCAGUGAAAUGCGUAGAUAUGCGGAGGAACACCGAUGGCGAAGGCAAUCCCCUGGACCUGUACUGACGCUCAUGCACGAAAGCGUGGGGAGCAAACAGGAUUAGAUACCCUG
rnacentral:rRNA from 1 species